ensembl:antisense Dlx4os distal-less homeobox 4, opposite strand
CGCCCUCCCCCUACCGCAGAUUCCUGGGUAUCGGAGAGAGAAGCGUUUGAAUCCCUCUAGUUGCGCGCAAGCAGAAGAACGCGAAAUUUAUGCAAAGACAACCCAGACCCCAGAGGUGAGGAGAGCCGCCGCGGUCACACUUACCUGCUUCGAGCUCCUGCGGGUGUUCAGCCGGCCUGUGAAAGGGCUGAGAUGGCGCCACCAAUUGUUGCUGGCGGGGCAGCAAGGCUAUCAGCUUGGAUCCUGGCCUUUCCCCCAGUGCAGCCAGGUGGAGCUCACCAGCCUGGAGACCCGGUCAGUCUAAAUUCUAAUCCUGCCUCCACCCUGCAGUGACUUGGACAAGUAAAACUUCACUCGUGUCUCAGUUUCUUCAUCUGGUAUCAGGAAAACAGCCAAGAAGCAACCAGGAAGCAGAUGGACUCAACAUAGGAAACCAACAGACCCUCAUGGAGGUCCAGGGAACUUCCUUGCCUUUGCUCUGUCCCCACCCCCAGGCCUGGGAUUGAGAUGGAGACUCUCCUGGUUCCUGGAGGACCUUGGCGUCUUUAGUCUGUAAAGGUGGCAGGAAUCCCCAGACAAUCCAGUCCACCCUAGAAGCCCUGCCUCUGCACAGCGUGACUCUGGAAAGUUCUGACUCGGUCACCACCUGCUCUAACCACAAACCCUGAACUGGCCCAAGCCUCCAAACCAGCAAGAUGACGUGGCUCAGCCUGGAAGGUGGUGGUGGCCUCUGAGUGCCAGGCACCCAGCAGGGCAGGGAGGAGCACUUGGCAGCCUGUGGACAAGCCCUCAGCCUCCACCCUGUGGGGCUGCUCAGUUACCAUGGUCCCUCUGUGUGUGAGUGUGUGUGUGCGCCAGAGGUCAGCAUCAGGUGUCUUUCUCAAUUCCUGCCCUGUCCUGAACCUGGAGCUUCACAAUUCAGCUCAGCUGAUGGCCAGGAAGCCACAGGAUCCUCCCGUCUCCAGCUCGUGCUGGAAUUGCAGGCAUGUGUGCUGCGUCCAGCUUCUUCCGUGGUGCUCAGGAUCCAAAGCUAGGUCCUCAUGCGUGCAUGUCUAGGCCCCAAGUCCCUCAGCUGCCAUGAGCCUUAGAACUAGAAGACAUCUGAAGUCCCACAAACCAGUGGGUUUUGAAUUCUGGAACCAGGAGAAAUGGGAUUGGUAGUUUGCAUAUUAGUAAACACCUUGGUGGGAAAACCUUUCAGCCCAGUGCCCCCCCAAGAGACACAUGAAGAAGGGAACACAGGAGGGGACAAGACUGGCAUGUGUUGACAUAGUAAAUCAGAUGAAAACCCAGAUGUUUAGACUCUGGGACAGGGUGUCUUUAUGUCAGCUAUCUUUUUUGAGACAAAGUUUCUCAGAGUUUCUAUAGCCCUGGCUGUUCCUGAACUAGCUCUGUAGAUCAAGCUGGGCUGGAACUCAGAGAUCUGCCUGCUUCUGGCCUCGCAAAUGCUGGGAUUAAAAGCAUGUGCCGCCACCACCCAGAUUUUUGUUUGUUUAUAUUUUGUCCCAUCUCUGACCCCCAUCCCUGGUGCCCUGUCCCCAAGACAAAGUCUUACUGUGUAACUCUGACUGUCCUUGAACUUACUCUGCAUGCCAGGCUGGCCUCAAAAUCACAGAGAUCCACCUGCCUCUGCCUUCCAAGUUCUGAGAUUAAAGGCCUGUGCC